rnacentral:rRNA from 1 species
AGAGUUUGAUCCUGGCUCAGGACGAACGCUGGCGGCGUGCUUAACACAUGCAAGUCGAACGAUGAUGCCCAGCUUGCUGGGCGGAUUAGUGGCGAACGGGUGAGUAAUACGUGAGUAACCUGCCCUUGACUCUGGGAUAAGCCUGGGAAACUGGGUCUAAUACUGGAUACUACCUCUUACCGCAUGGUGGGUGGUGGAAAGGGUUUUACUGGUUUUGGAUGGGCUCACGGCCUAUCAGCUUGUUGGUGGGGUAAUGGCUCACCAAGGCGACGACGGGUAGCCGGCCUGAGAGGGUGACCGGCCACACUGGGACUGAGACACGGCCCAGACUCCUACGGGAGGCAGCAGUGGGGAAUAUUGCACAAUGGGCGGAAGCCUGAUGCAGCGACGCCGCGUGAGGGAUGACGGCCUUCGGGUUGUAAACCUCUUUCAGUAGGGAAGAAGCGAGAGUGACGGUACCUGCAGAAGAAGCGCCGGCUAACUACGUGCCAGCAGCCGCGGUAAUACGUAGGGACGCAAGCGUUGUCCGGGAAUUAUUGGGCGUAAAGAGCUCGUAGGCGGUUUGUCGCGUCUGCUGUGAAAGCCCGGGGCUCAACCCCGGGUCUGCAGUGGGUACGGGCAGACUAGAGUGCAGUAGGGGAGACUGGAAUUCCUGGUGUAGCGGUGAAAUGCGCAGAUAUCAGGAGGAACACCGAUGGCGAAGGCAGGUCUCUGGGCUGUUACUGACGCUGAGGAGCGAAAGCAUGGGGAGCGAACAGGAUAAGAUACCCUGGUAGUCCAUGCCGUAAACGUUGGGCACUAGGUGUGGGGGACAUUCCACGUUUUCCGCGCCGUAGCUAACGCAUUAAGUGCCCCGCCUGGGGAGUACGGCCGCAAGGCUAAAACUCAAAGGAAUUGACGGGGGCCCGCACAAGCGGCGGAGCAUGCGGAUUAAUUCGAUGCAACGCGAAGAACCUUACCAAGGCUUGACAUUCACCGGACCGCCCCAGAGAUGGGGUUUCCCUUCGGGGCUGGUGGACAGGUGGUGCGUGGUUGUCGUCAGCUCGUGUCGUGAGAUGUUGGGUUAAGUCCCGCAACGAGCGCAACCCUCGUUCUAUGUUGCCAGCACGUGAUGGUGGGGACUCAUAGGAGACUGCCGGGGUCAACUCGGAGGAAGGUGGGGAUGACGUCAAAUCAUCAUGCCCCUUAUGUCUUGGGCUUCACGCAUGCUACAAUGGCCGGUACAAAGGGUUGCGAUACUGUGAGGUGGAGCUAAUCCCAAAAAGCCGGUCUCAGUUCGGAUUGAGGUCUGCAACUCGACCUCAUGAAGUCGGAGUCGCUAGUAAUCGCAGGUCAGCAACGCUGCGGUGAAUACGUUCCCGGGCCUUGUACACACCGCCCGUCAAGUCACGAAAGUUGGUAACACCCGAAGCCGGUGGCCUAACCCCUUGUGGGAGGGAGCCGUCGAAGGUGGGACUGGCGAUUGGGACUAAGUCGUAACAAGGUAACCGUA